GCCGGGUCCUAGCGCCGGGGGAAGGUUUCACGCCUGCGGGAGGGCUGGGCUCUGCCCCGCGAGGGAAGGCGGGGGGGAGGUGGCUGCGUGGAAGGGCGGUGAGAGAAGCACGUGGUUCCGUGUCAGCAUCGCGGGAGGAGUGGGCUCGCUGUGGGCGAGCUGGCAAUACAGCGAGUGGGUGAGCUGGAGCAGCGUCUGAUUGCAGGCCUGGGUGUCUGUUGGAGGCUGGUCCAGGACCUUAGAAGUGACCUGAAGGUCACCCCACUGCCUCCUGUGUUCUGACGACACAGGAAGAGUAAGUCCUUCUUUCGCCUCUGUGUCUGGUGUCCUGGCAUCACCUAUGCUUCAGCAUCUGCAGGGUAACAGUAUACAAUGAAAGUCAUUUUACCACUUAAGGAAGAUGCUGGAUUCAUAGAUCAACAUCACAGAGUGUUGUAUAGGCACGGAAAGCACACAAGGAAGCUUUGCUUUAUGCUUCAGUGCUUUGCUAGUAUAACUAGAGCACCUCAUUCUGCACAUCUCUUUAGCCUCUUCGUUCACUGAGGUACCCAACAAGGAGACCAACAAUGGUUUUGCUUGAAUAUGGACUUCAUAUUCAUCCAUGUUCUUCAAGUGUUGCAUGGCUUUGCUGUGAGAUGAGAAAUGUUUGCUGCGCUCUGCCUGCUGGAUUGCAUUUUGUUCUCCAUCCGUUUGUCCUGGGCUGUGUUUGAUUCCUACCCUGAGUUUACAGCACUGACUGAAAUGUUCUCAGAUGAGCAGGUGGGAAAACGGCCUGUAAAUCUUCAUCUUUAUAAAUGGUUUGUAAAACUUUUGGUGUUGAAAGGAACAGCUUUUUUUGUCAUUCAUGGGGAGCAGAACUCAGAAUUCUUAUUGCAAAAAGAGACCAGAGAGCAGAUGAGGCGAAAUGACAUAUUCAGGUAAAACAUGAGCCACCAGCUCACAACAAGCAAGUUCAGUGCAGUGACAGUCCUCCUGCUCUUCCCUAGGGACUGGGCAGAACUGCUCAAGAAGGAGUAGAUGGAAACAGCUGCCAAUAGAUGAGUUCUGGAAAGGAUUCAAGCCACAGUACUUGCUGCGGCUUGGGAGUUUGUGAUGGGCAGAGCUUACUGAAUGACUGGUAUCUAUGAUUUUGGACUGGACAGCUAUCAGUCAGUUCUUAGAUAUGGGACCCAGAAAAAAUAUUGCGGAACAAAGCCAUGUAUAGGGCAUUCUCUGAUAUCUUUGUAAUUUUAAAGUGAGAAAGGAAAGUACAUCUCUAACCGCAGAGCUCUAGAACAGGUUUAUCUAGCUUCAAGUGGAAAAUCAUGAUCCUUCCUGCUCAUAGACGGAAGAGACCUGAGGUCCAUAGAAUCUUGGUUCUACUUGUACAUGGACAAUUCACUAGGUUGCAUUUAGCUAGCAGGAGCUUGCAUUUUAUUUUUUUUUAACCUAAAUAUCUUUCUCAUGACAGAAGACAGCAAGAGAGAUGUUGAAGAACUGAGCCUUGAUGUCAUUUCCUCAGAGUUCGUACCAGGCAGAGCUGACAGCAGACCAGCGCCUUCCUCUUCCACGCCCAGGCUGAAGUCAAAGGCCCGUAAUGCUUGUGAGCCUGCUGACUCUCUUCUGUGAACAACCAACUGAAAAUGAAAAGUCUUUCUCACAAAUGGCAGGAUUGUAAUGUUGCCACACGGUGCUAGUCGAAACCACCUAUUUCAAACAGAACCACAUGUGAGGAAACGUUCAUGAGCUGAACGCACAGGUCUCACAGGACAUCUGUUCCCAAAUGUGAUGGAUCAUCUCCUAAAAAAAAACAAAAACAAAAAAACCAUCCUGGCUCGCAGUCAGUCAGACACAGGGCACUGCACACAGCGGUCGUCAGUGAACCAAGAGGACCCUUAUAUCCUCCCAGAACGUGAAGCUAAGCCACAGGGUAAAAUAAAAGUCAAUCAGGUUUUGUCUUUCAGAUACAUCAGCCAAGUGCAUUCGUUUGAGGAUUCAGAAGUAAAGCAUCCAUGUGAAGGAAAGGAAUGUUUUAUGGCCAAGGUGUAAGGUAGAUGAUCUUUAGGUGGAGGUGACUGUGAAUGCCGAGGUUUGUGUACCACUGAGGACCAGAGGACCAUGGCAUUGCAAGCCCUGCCGUCUGCAAAGUCAAUGGGACACCUUUACAGAGCUGGACGUUGAUGAAGGUGUAGAGGGGACAGCCCUGCCUCAGAGUCCCCUCCGAUCUGCACAGUGGUCCCGUGCCUCAGAGCACCAGUUUGUCAUCCACCAUGGUCACCACACACAAUGAGGGAGCUGAUGAGCUGUUCCCCUCUUCCUGCUUAAGAGAGAGCCUGGCAUGGGGACCCUGUUGCCCUUUCCUGCUGGAGUUCAAGGCAGGAGAAGGGACCUCAUCUUCUGCCCAGGGAGGAUGUAAGCCAGCAGCUAUGGGAAGGGCAGGAGGAGGUGACUCGCCCCACACAGGUUUGGGCUGAUGGAGGUCGAGGGGCCUCUGUGACAGGGCGUCUUCCCUGGGGCACUCACCAUGCCGUCGGAGCAGUUGGAGCGGGGGCUGGAGGCGUCCGACUCCCCGCUGUAGUGCUCCAGCACCGGGUAGUAAACGUCCUCCUGCUCCCGCAGCAGUGCCUGCAGGCUCUCGAUGUAGCGGAUGG